rnacentral:rRNA from 1 species
UACGGGGGGAGCAAGCGUUGUUCGGAUUUACUGGGCGUAAAGGGCGCGUAGGCGGUCAGCACAAGUCAGUUGUGAAAUCCCCGGGCUCAACCCGGGAACUGCAUCUGAAACUGCAGGCCUUGAGUACUGGAGAGGGUGGCGGAAUUCCUGGUGUAGAGGUGAAAUUCGUAGAUAUCAGGAGGAACACCGGUGGCGAAGGCGGCCACCUGGACAGUAACUGACGCUGAGAUGCGAAAGCGUGGGGAGCAAACAGG